UGCUUAAUUUUUUUGAUUGAUUUAGUCUUAGAUUACCAAUAUGACUUAAUUGGAUUUUUUAAAAUUUUUUAAGGUGGUUGUACUGUAUUGACUCCGUUUUGAUUCGGUCUUAGAUCGAGGUCAAUUGUAGAUGGUGUAAAGACUGGAUAACAUUUUUCACGCAGAAUAUGCCAUAUGCAUCACCAUCAUUGCUGGGGUUUUUUGGAUUGUCUAAAAAUGGCUUAAUCUGGGAUGCUUAAUACCUUUUCUCAACUUAUUUUUAGCCUUGUCUAAAAGAUAGUAUGUUUGUUUGCAUUCUAUAAUACCAUUUUGUCUGGUGUUUUGUGAAGUCAGAUUGUAAAUGUAUCCUUGUGUGGAAUAAUCACAUGUAUAAUUGGAAUAAGUUAGUCCGAA